rnacentral:rRNA from 1 species
CGCUGGCGGCAGGCCUAACACAUGCAAGUCGAGCGGAUGACAGGAGCUUGCUCCUGAAUUCAGCGGCGGACGGGUGAGUAAUGCCUAGGAAUCUGCCUGGUAGUGGGGGACAACGUUUCGAAAGGAACGCUAAUACCGCAUACGUCCUACGGGAGAAAGCAGGGGACCUUCGGGCCUUGCGCUAUCAGAUGAGCCUAGGUCGGAUUAGCUAGUUGGUGAGGUAAUGGCUCACCAAGGCGACGAUCCGUAACUGGUCUGAGAGGAUGAUCAGUCACACUGGAACUGAGACACGGUCCAGACUCCUACGGGAGGCAGCAGUGGGGAAUAUUGGACAAUGGGCGAAAGCCUGAUCCAGCCAUGCCGCGUGUGUGAAGAAGGUCUUCGGAUUGUAAAGCACUUUAAGUUGGGAGGAAGGGCAGUAACUUAAUACGUUGCUGUUUUGACGUUACCGACAGAAUAAGCACCGGCU